AAGAACAAAGUUUUGUCCAUCUUUGAUCAUCAUAGCUGAAAGUUAGAGAAGAGAAAAGAGAGGAGAAAGCUCUUGAGUAUUCGGUCAUUAGGAGGAGGAAAAUUGAAGGUAAGUUCUUGGUACCUUGCUUCUAUUUUGAGGUUCAUGAGUUCUUCUUGAUUCUACCUUAACUCUUGAAGUAUAUUUUGAUUUUUAGUUGUGUUGUGAGCAUUUAGUCAUGAAUUAAAAUGAAGGAAAUGGUUGUUGUUUCAUGUUCUUUUGAUGAAAAAUGGAAGAUAGGUGAAGUUGAGCCAAACAAAUGAGCAUGCAUGUGCCUUAGAUGUUAAAUGGAAAAAUCAGCUAACAUGUUGUGCUUUAAAAUGAUGAAAUGGAGAUUAUACUUAAGUAAAAUCAUAGAUAUGUGAUGAUUGAUUGGUGAUAUACAUGUUUAAAUAACAUGCAUGCAAGGUAUGUGUGAAAGAGUGAUUUGGUAAUAAAUCUGCUUGGGACAGCAGCAGUAACGUGACUUUGGAAAAUCACCAUAAAUUGUGGGAGAAGAAUUAGAAGCUGAAUAAAUUAUGUAAUUAAAUCUUAAUGAGUCUAGUUUCAAAUAAAAUAAACGAGAAUAUAUUUUGAAUUCUGUACAACGAGAAAUUUGAUUUGAAAUGAAGAGUGGUCAGAUUAGUCAAACAGUGAAACAUGGGAAACUUUAAGAAAAAUCUGGUAUUGAUUGGCCAUACCAAAAAUUCUGAAAAUUUUAUGGAUAGAAGAUAUAUGAGUCUAUUUUCAGGGAAAAUUAACGGCACUUGAUUUGGAGUUUCGUAGCUCCAGUUAUAAAUGAUUUAGUGACUGUCGCUCAGGAAGACAACUUGCAGUGAAAUUAUGAUUAUGUGGUAAACAUUGACAAAAAUUUGUUAAUGAGUUGCUUAUUGUUUUCUUAUAAGCUUACUAUGAUCUGUAGGUGUGGUUGGCCGAAUAUUGUAAGGGGUUAAUACGUAGUUUGUAUUUGAAUAGUUAGAUUAACGUGUUAGUAAUCCAAUUGUAGGCGGUUCGUGUGUGGAUCUCGUCAGCAUAUCGUCGCAAACAGGUGUGUAACUAACACCCUCUUUCUUAGUCUAGAUCGGCAAAAGUCGAAAAGCCGAAAUGCCGAAAACCGAUAUUUUGUAGAUUUGCGAGUGUGCGAAUGGUCGUGAGGUAAAUCGAUUAAUGUUUUUGGUAAGCUGCAUGUUUGGACUGCAAAGUGCAUGAUUUCUGUGCCCUCGAUAUUUUUGGGCUUAAUGGGCCAAAAUUGGAAUGAUGGGCCAACGGGCCCAAUUCGGUAAGAACCCUCGGUACGUGAUUCUGUUAGUACGUGAAAAGUAGGAAUAUGCAUGAAAAACCCUAAAAUAGAUAAAUUACUGAAAUACUUUAAAAGUAGAAAAUUUACAGUUUUACCCCCUAAGAGAUAAAUUACCGAAAUACCCCUAGGGUUAAAUUGACCUAAAUGCAUGUUUGACUGUUGUUAUUUACUGCAUGCCAUGUUGUUAUUAUCUGAUGCAUGGGACUGGGAUAUUGACGGAGGAAGUACUGAAAGUGGCUUGUCCACGUACUGGAGGCUUUGCCUCAAUUUACUGUUAACUGAGCAGCAAGGCUGCAACUGUGGAGUGUUGGGUUGGGUGGGUUGAGCUAUUCCCCACAUGGAGUGUAUGGCUGGUACGGGUGGAGUGUAGUGAUUGGUGGGUUGAGUAGUCUCCCCAAAUGGGCUUGCAUAUGUUAUUGAUGUUGCAUGUAUUUUGAAAUGGGCCUAUGGGCCAUACUGUUAUCUGAAUAAGGGGCUCAGGCCCAGUUUAUUGUAAUCUGAAAAGGGCUCUGGCCCAGUACCACUGUUACCUGAAUGGGCUUAGGCCCAAUAGGCUUGAGCUGACUUGGGCUUUGAAUGGGUUUUCCUUACACACUGAGUUUCCCCAAACUCACCCCUUUUAUUUUCAUCCACGCAGGAAAUCCCCAACCAUAGUGGGCUUGGAGCUGUGAGGGAAUUCGGAGUGGCCACCCAUUUUAAAAGUUUGGUUUUCUUCUGGUGAACUGAACAUCCUAUUAUUUACGUUGAAGUUUGGUUUUUUAAAUGUAAUAAGGC
rnacentral:lncRNA from 1 species